UCCGGUUUGUCACCGGCAGUCCCAUUAGAGUGCCCAACUGAAUGUAGCAACUAAUGGCAAGGGUUGCGCUCGUUGCGGGACUUAACCCAACAUCUCACGACACGAGCUGACGACAGCCAUGCAGCACCUGUGUUCCGGUUCUCUUUCGAGCACAGCCACCUUUCAGCAGCCUUCCAGACAUGUCAAGGGUAGGUAAGGUUUUUCGCGUUGCAUCGAAUUAAUCCACAUAAUCCACCGCUUGUGCGGGUCCCCGUCAAUUCCUUUGAGUUUUAGCCUUGCGGCCGUACUCCCCAGGCGGACGACUUAACGCGUUAGCUACGACACCGAAAGGCAGACCCCUCCGACAUCCAGUCGUCAUCGUUUAGGGCGUGGACUAC
rnacentral:misc_RNA from 1 species